CGACCGCACCCACUUGAAACACCGAUUCCGUACGAUCACCGAAAUUAAGCAACGUCGAGCCUGGUCAGUACCUAGAUGGGUGACCGCUUGCCAAUGCCAAGUGUUGUAA